GGUAUCCUUUGCAACACGGCUGCCCAAUUUCAAAACACAGUAAGUAGCAAAAAUAAAAUUAUUGGAAUAUAUCAAUCGAAUCAUAUUCACACGACUCCAUUGGAACGUAAAAUGCAAAAAAACCGAUUUCGCAAAAUUUGUCCCUUACUAUGUUUUGAAAUUGGGC